UGUGUGAAGAAGGCCUUCGGGUUGUAAAGCACUUUCAGUUGUGAGGAAAAGUUAGUAGUUAAUACCUGCUAGCCGUGACGUUAACAACAGAAGAAGCACCGGCUAACUCCGUGCCAGCAGCCGCGGUAAUACGGAGGGUGCGAGCGUUAAUCGGAAUUACUGGGCGUAAAGCGCACGCAGGCGGUUUGUUAAGCUAGAUGUGAAAGCCCCGGGCUCAACCUGGGAUGGUCAUUUAGAACUGGCAGACUAGAGUCUUGGAGAGGGGAGUGGAAUUCCAGGUGUAGCGGUGAAAUGCGUAGAUAUCUGGAGGAACAUCAGUGGCGAAGGCGACUCCCUGGCCAAAGACUGACGCUCAUGUGCGAAAGUGUGGGUAGCGAACAGGAUUAGAUACCCUGGUAGUCCACACCGUAAACGCUGUCUACUAGCUGUGUGUGCCUUUAAGGCGUGCGUAGCGAAGCUAACGCGCUAAGUAGACCGCCUGGGGAGUACGGCCGCAAGGUUAAAACUCAAAUGAAUUGACGGGGGCCCGCACAAGCGGUGGAGCAUGUGGUUUAAUUCGAUGCAACGCGAAGAACCUUACCUACACUUGACAUGCUGAGAAGUUACUAGAGAUAGUUUCGUGCCUUCGGGAACUCAGACACAGGUGCUGCAUGGCUGUCGUCAGCUCGUGUCGUGAGAUGUUGGGUUAAGUCCCGCAACGAGCGCAACCCUUGUCCUUAGUUGCCAGCCUUAAGUUGGGCACUCUAAGGAGACUGCCGGUGACAAACCGGAGGAAGGUGG
rnacentral:rRNA from 1 species